AAUAGAAUGAAAACUGCAGGUGCCGGUUGGAUAAGAUUGAUCAGAGCCGGUGAAAAGGGAAACAGGUGCAAGUCCUGUACGAACUCGUCACUGUGAGCAGGGAAUAUCAGAAAAGAAAAAAGUCACUGGAUAACGGGAAGACAAGCUUCUGAUGUAUGGAUCUGUGAGUCAGGAGACCUGCCUGUAGCGUACAUGGAAG
rnacentral:ncRNA from 2 species